rnacentral:lncRNA from 1 species
UUGUUUUUUUAAAUUUAAACAUCCCCUUAUUCUUCGACCACAAUUUACAGAGAUGGCAAGCUCCGUCCUCCGUGUUGAAGCGCUCAAGGGCGCCGCCCUCUGGCGCCGAAAACCGGCAGGGACAUCUGCCCAAUCAGGAGCCACAUCAGCCAAAUCCUACUGCGCUCUCCUUUCCCGCUGGGUGCCCUUCCCUCUCCAUGGAAACGCUGCUAAGAGUCUGCGGGGUUCUGGGACUUCCGUUUCGGUGCGGAGAGGCUGAGGCCCUUGUUUAUGUGGGCUGAGUGUUUCGCAGAUUCCGGUGCCCAUUCAGGCUCCAUAAGCGAUGCAGAAUCUUGAGAAGACAACGCGAGAAGCAGACCAGGGCGAGAAGAGGAGUGGUUCAAAGAAGAGCGGCUGCAAAGACCUACCAGCGAUCAGCAAAGACAGACCAGAAUGUUCCCACUUUACGUACGGUUCAGGUGGCUCAGUACUCUACCACUCCCCAAAAGACGAGAACAAAGGAGAAAGGCAUGUACACUCUUCCUGUCAGUCUGAUCUGUGAUGUCCCCCCAAAUCCUCAUGACCUGGAUGGAUAUUAAGGGACAGAAAGAGGCUGCUGCUGCUUGCUGCCUCCUGCCUGCUCUGCCGUGGAUUGUUUCUCUGCGAUGCCCUUCCACUAGCUGACUGCACAGUGAAACCUCUACAAACUGUGAGCCAAAAUAAACCUUUCCUCCUUUAACGUGUGGUUGUCGGAUUUUGUCUCAACAACAAGAAGAGUAAUUAAGACACCAUUAGAUUAGCCUCCUCUUUUUAUUACUGUUUCACAAUUUUCUUUUUCUAACAAAAGUUCUUAGAAAUCAGUUUGUCAGAUCUUUUCCACUGUCAUAUCAAAAUGUAGUUAAUAUCUUAAUUGAAUCACAUUGAAAAUAGAGAUAAGUUUAGUGAGAGCAAAAUUUUAUGUAUUCUUCCUACCUAAGAUUCAGCAGGUUUUCCUGCUUUCUCAAUCCUUUUUGUUCCACAAAUUCUAAAACUAUAUAGGCUUUAAGUAUUUUUAAGAAUUUAUAUUUCAGUGCUCUUAUAAAUAUCAUUUAUAAAUAAUUUGCAAUGUUUAUGUCUAUACUCACAUUAUUUAUUUUAUGUUAAUUUUAAUUUUAUUGUAAUCUAUUACAUAUAUGCAAAAGAAUAUAUGAAAAUAUCUAUGUACAGUUUAAAAUACCAUAAUAACAUGGAUACUCCCCAGUCUAGACCAAUAUUCCCACCCCUUUCUGGAGGGGGAACAAUCACUAUAUUAUAUGUCACGUUAAUUCCUUAGCUUUUUUCUUAUGGUUUUGACUUACUAGGUCUGAAUUUCCAAACAGACUUGUUUCAUAUUGUUGAACACUGUACAAAUGGAAUCACUGAAUAUAUUCUUAUAUAAAUGGCUUCUUUUGCAUGUUAUAUAAAUGGCUUCUUUUGCAUGUUUUUCUUAUAAUGUAUCCAUGCUGAUUCACAUAGCUGUAGAUCAUUUUCAUUACUCUGUACUAUUUUAUAGUAUGAAUAAUAAUUUAUCUAUUCUAGUGGUGCUGAACCUUUUGGAUUAUUUCUAGCUUUUAACUAUUACUGCAAUUUUUAUACUCUAAAUGUUAUUGUACAUGUUGCCUGGUACACCUGUAUAAGGUGUACUAACCUUAAUAGUAGAAUUUUAUGGACAUUCAUUUACCUAACAGCUAAUAGUUUUCAGCUGAUUUUCUUGUUUUUCCCAAAUAUGCAGUCAUACCUUUUACAGAUAAUCUUGCCUAACUGCAUUGGCAUGUACAUUCACAUUAAUAGUUUAAAAUACUGGGUUUAUCUUUGUUAAGAAAAAAAUAAGUAUUUGUGUGAAUAGAAGAAGGUCAAAAAGAACAUAGUGAAAACUGUAGUAAUUAUUUAGGGAAGUGGUUUUAAUGUUUACUUGUUACAGUAUUUAGAAAUUUUAUGAAUUUAUUUUUAGUAAGACAAAUUAGACUCUUACUGGCAUGUAUUUCAAGGAAAUUCUUAAAUCUUUGUUAAAAUAACAAAGCUAAAAAUCACAGAUUGUUUUAUUUUUACUGUACAGUGGACCCUCAAGUUACAACUGGCCUGACACACAAAUAACUUGGGUUAAUUAGGUUAAUGGAAGAUUCAUCUCCUUCUUGUUAUCUAUAGCUUGUACCCAGGUAAUCAUCCAGAUCUCAGCUGUACUGACUUAAAACCAACUUGAGUUAUAACUAGCCC